rnacentral:rRNA from 1 species
UACGUAGGGUGCGAGCGUUGUCCGGAAUUAUUGGGCGUAAAGAGCUCGUAGGCGGUUUGUCGCGUCGGCCGUGAAAACUUGGGGCUUAACCCCGAGCCUGCGGUCGAUACGGGCAGACUUGAGUUCGGCAGGGGAGACUGGAAUUCCUGGUGUAGCGGUGAAAUGCGCAGAUAUCAGGAGGAACACCGGUGGCGAAGGCGGGAUCCUGGCCGUGGUCGACGACUG